GAGUUUGAUCAUGGCUCAGAUUGAACGCUGGCGGAAUGCUUUACACAUGCAAGUCGAGCGGCAGCGCGGGGCAACCUGGCGGCGAGCGGCGAACGGGUGAGUAAUGCAUCGGAACGUGUCCACGUCGUGGGGGAUAGCCCGGCGAAAGCCGGAUUAAUACCGCAUACGCCCGAGAGGGGAAAGUGGGGGACCGCAAGGCCUCACGCGAUUGGGUCGGCCGAUGUCCGAUUAGCUAGUUGGCGGGGUAAAGGCCCACCAAGGCGAUGAUCGGUAGCUGGUCUGAGAGGAUGAUCAGCCACACUGGGACUGAGACACGGCCCAGACUCCUACGGGAGGCAGCAGUGGGGAAUUUUGGACAAUGGGGGCAACCCUGAUCCAGCCAUUCCGCGUGAGUGAAGAAGGCC
rnacentral:rRNA from 1 species